rnacentral:ncRNA from 1 species
CACAAAGGCUUGGUCCUGACUUUGCCAUCAACUUUAACUAAACUUACACAUGCAAGUAUCCGCGCCCCAGUGAGGAUGCCCCGACCCUCCUGAAUGGAGACAUGGAGCUGGUAUCAGGCACAACCCUUUAGCCCACGACGCCUUGCUAUGCCACGCCCUCAAGGGAAUUCAGCAGUGAUAAAUAUUAAGCCAUAAGUGAAAACUUGACUUAGUUAAUGUUUACAGGGCCGGUAAAUCUCGUGCCAGCCACCGCGGUUAUACGAGAGACCCAAGUCGAUGGUCAUCGGCGUAAAGAGUGGUUAAGGGAAAUUUUCAACUAAAGCCAAACGACUUCAAAGCUGUUAUACGCUUACGAAAGCACUGAGGCCCCACCACGAAAGUGGCUUUAAUCUCCUGACUCCACGAAAGCUAUGGCACAAACUGGGAUUAGAUACCCCACUAUGCUUAGCCCUAAACAUCGAUAAAACCGUACUUAAUUUAUCCGCCCGGGAACUACGAGCAUAAGCUUAAAACCCAAAGGACUUGGCGGUGCUUUAGACCCCCCUAGAGGAGCCUGUCCUAUAACCGAUACUCCCCGUUAAACCUCACCUUUUCUUGUUAAAUCCGCCUAUAUACCGCCGUCGUCAGUUUACUCUGUGAGGAGCCCGUAGUAUGCACAAUUGGCACAGCCUAAAACGCCAGGUCGAGGUGUAGCGUAUGAAAAGGGAAGAGAUGGGCUACAUUCAAUAACCGAUAAUGAAUACGGAUGAUACCCUGAAACAAAAUAUCUGAAGGAGGAUUUAGUAGUAAGUAGAGAACAGAGUGCUCUACUGAAACCGGCCCUAAAGCGCGCACACACCGCCCGUCACUCUCUCCAAGCUAACAAAAACACAUUUCUAAUAAGCAAAAUUCGCUAAGGGGAGGCAAGUCGUAACAUGGUAAGCGUACCGGAAGGUGCGCUUG